GAUGAACGCUAGCGGCAGGCCUAACACAUGCAAGUCGAGGGGUAGAAUUAGCUUGCUAAUUUUGAGACCGGCGCACGGGUGCGUAACGCGUAUGCAAUCUGCCUUGUACUGAGGGAUAGCCCAGAGAAGUUUGGAUUAAUACCUCAUAGUAUAUUCUGGUGGCAUCACCGGAUUAUUAAAGUUCCAACGGUACAAGAUGAGCAUGCGUCCCAUUAGUUAGUUGGUAAGGUAACGGCUUACCAAGACAAUGAUGGGUAGGGGUCCUGAGAGGGAGAUCCCCCGACACUGGUACUGAGACACGGACCAGACUCCUACGGGGAGGCAGCAGUGAGGAAUAUUGGUCAAUGGGCGCAAGCCUGAACCAGCCAUGCCGCGUGCAGGAUGAAGCAUCUAUGGUGUGUACACUGCUUUUUGUACGGGAAGAAAACACUCCUACGUGUAGGAACUUGACGGUACCGUAAGAAUAAGGAUCGGCUAACUCCGUGCCAGCAGCCGCGGUAAUACGGAGGAUCCAAGCGUUAUCCGGAAUCAUUGGGUUUAAAAGGGUCCGUAGCGGCUUUAUAAGUCAGUGGUGAAAAGCCCAUUCCGCUUAANGAGGAACGGCCAUUUGAUACUGUAGAGCUUGAAUUACUUGGAAGUAACUAGAAUAUGU
rnacentral:rRNA from 1 species